rnacentral:rRNA from 1 species
AGAGAUGGAUUGGUGCCUUCGGGAACUCUGAGACAGGUGCUGCAUGGCUGUCGUCAGCUCGUGUUGUGAAAUGUUGGGUUAAGUCCCGCAACGAGCGCAACCCUUAUCCUUUGUUGCCAGCGGUUAGGCCGGGAACUCAAAGGAGACUGCCAGUGAUAAACUGGAGGAAGGUGGGGAUGACGUCAAGUCAUCAUGGCCCUUACGAGUAGGGCUACACACGUGCUACAAUGGCGCAUACAAAGAGAAGCGACCUCGCGAGAGCAAGCGGACCUCAUAAAGUGCGUCGUAGUCCGGAUUGGAGUCUGCAACUCGACUCCAUGAAGUCGGAAUCGCUAGUAAUCGUGGAUCAGAAUGCCACGGUGAAUACGUUCCCGGGCCUUGUACACACCGCCCGUCACACCAUGGGAGUGGGUUGCAAAAGAAGUAGGUAGCUUAACCUUCGGGAGGGCGCUUACCACUUUGUGAUUCAUGACUGGGGUGAAGUCGUAACAAGGUAAGCGUAGUGCU